UGCCCUAGGACCUUGACUGUUCCAUCUGUUCCAAUAUCACCCGCUACAUGAUUGGUACUUCCGCGACUCUUUCAAGUCCUUGCUCAAAUGUCACCUCAGUGAGACCUCCUCUGAACAUUCUAUUUAAAAGGUGACACCCUCUCACGUCCUUUCCACACUUCACUUAUCCCACGUGAAUUGCUUAUGUUAGCUUCAACAUAGCCACAAAUUAUUCCCUUUUGGACACCCUGCCUGUCGCUUCUCCUUUAAAUCUUGUGGGGAAGGGCGGAGCUAGGACCGAGGCUAAAAGCGAGGAGGAGCCUUCUACAGGCUACGCCUACUUGCGUCGUGGGCAGCGGGCCAGCGAUCCCGCGCGGAGACAUUCUUCUCCUCUUCCGCUCCGGAAGCGCGACUGCGGAGGGGAUUACCACGUGACCUUGACGUCAACGCGCCCGCGCCAGGCGGACCUGAUUCCCUCGGCUUCCCAGGGGUCUUGGUUUGUGGCUUAUCUGCUUUCCACUCUGGUGCGGCGCAGUUCGCGGUCCUCGCUCAAGGCCCUCUGGGCCUGGCCUCCAACUUAAGUAUGUACCACAAUAGUAGCCAGAAGCGGCACUGGACUUUCGCCAGUGAGGAGCAGCUAGCCCGGUUGCGGGCCGACGCCAACCGCAAAUUCAGAUGCAAAGCAGUGGCGAAUGGGAAGGUUCUUCCAAAUGACCCAAUCUUUCUUGAGCCUCAUGAAGAAAUGAUACUCUGCAAAUACUAUGAGAAAAGAUUAUUGGAAUUCUGUUCAGUGUUUAAGCCAGCAAUGCCAAGGUCUGUUGUGGGUACGGCUUGUAUGUAUUUCAAGCGUUUUUAUCUUAAUAACUCAGUUAUGGAAUAUCACCCCCGGAUAAUAAUGCUCACUUGUGCAUUUUUGGCCUGCAAGGUAGAUGAAUUCAAUGUAUCUAGUCCACAAUUUGUUGGAAAUCUGCGGGAGAGUCCUCUUGGACAAGAGAAAGCACUUGAACAGAUUUUGGAAUAUGAACUGCUCCUUAUACAACAGCUUAAUUUCCACCUUAUUGUCCACAAUCCUUAUAGACCUUUUGAGGGCUUUCUCAUUGAUUUAAAGACUCGAUAUCCCAUGUUGGAGAAUCCAGAGAUUUUGAGGAAGACAGCUGAUGACUUUCUCAGUAGAGUUGCAUUGACGGAUGCUCACCUUUUAUACACACCUUCCCAGAUUGCCCUGACUGCCAUUUUAUCUAGUGCAUCCAGAGCAGGAAUUACUAUGGAAAGUUAUUUAUCAGAAAGUCUGAUGCUCAAAGAGAACAGAACUAGCCUGUCACAGUUACUAGAUAUUAUGAAAAGCAUGAGAAACUUGGUAAAAAAAUAUGAACCACCCAGAUCUGAAGAAGUUGCUGUUCUGAAACAGAAGUUGGAGAGAUGUCACUCUCCUGAGCUUGCACUUAACGUAAUUACGUAAGUAGAUGGGACACUGUUAUCCUAGAACAGAUAUAACUAUUAUUGUGUUUAGCUUAAAAUGUCAUUUAAUUGGUGAAUGCUCAUAUGGGUAAAACUGACUUACCUAUUAAAUCAGAUUUUUUUUCAACAGGAUUAAACACGAGAUAAUAAAAGAAUUUGGCUUUUUAUAGUCAAUUCUGCUCCUGCUGUGAUUAACGUGUUCUUUGGCUUGUGGGAUCCCAUGAGGCAGAGUCUUCCUAGGGAAUUCAUGAACCUCUUCUUGUCCUUUUAAUCUCUAGGUUUUUUGUAGGUCUGGUUAUCUCCUCUGGAGAACAAGUACACUGUUCCAGAUUUAUUUCUAUUAGCUAGGGUAUGGAAAUUUGGCAUAUUUUCUCUCAGUGGUAAACUUUAUAUUGAAGACAGAAUCAAUAGGAAAAUGUGCUGUUAGAUUUCUUGUUGCAUCCAUAAGGAACACUGUAAUACGUCUUAUUGACUUGUUGCUGAAUGUGGAAUUCACUAUAUUUGAGCUCUUUAUCACCUGCAGCUUGAAGAUCUGCUUACACCUUUCAGGUGUUUAAACAGUUGGGGAUCUGGGUAGGUAAUAAGAAUGGUAAAAUUAUUAUUUUAUAUUUUCUGUGGAACACAUUCUGUAAAACUUAGUGGGAGGUAGGUCUGUCAUCUUACAGUUGAGAUGCAUUUGAGAUGUUUCUGAUUCCAUAAUUGAUGACUAUAUUGUUAUUGGAUAAUAUAUGAGACAUCAGACCAGAAUUCUAAGGCCUUCAGAUCAGGUACUUGUAACUCAAAUUCUUCUAACUAUAAAGCUAUAGUAGGAGAAUAUCCCAGGACUUAUGAUGUGUGUAAAAUAUGGGACUAUUUUAUAUUUGUAGCUGUAACUGCAAAACAUGGCUUAGAAUAGAACCUAAAAUUGGUAAAUUUCACUCCUGGGUUUCAGUGUUACAGCAAAAGUAAAGAAAAAUGUUGACUUUAAUGAAUGAAAGUAUUGCAGUACUGAUUUAUAAUCUUUUCACAUUGAUUUUGAAAUGGGCUUAUUAGACCAGGUGUUGGCACACUGUGGCCCAAGGGCCAAAUCUGGGCCACAACCUGUUUUUAGAAAUAGUUUUAUUGGAACAUAGAUCCAUCUAGCAUACUGUGUAUUGCUGUUUUCAGACUAUAGCAGAAGAAUUGUGUAGUUGUGACAGAAACUACAUGCCCGUACAAGAAUUAAAAUACUCACUAUAUGGCCUUUUGAAGAAAAAUUUGUCCACCUCUGAAUUAGACCACUCAACUAUUGAUCUUACUCUUCUAGCUAGGUGACUGAAUGGACCAUAAUCCAAAGUUCCUAAUUGGCCAGAGUUUACAUCUUUCUUUCAAGUGUACUGUGUUAAGCAAACCCUGCAUAUCUAUGAGUACUUAAAGGGCGAUUCUCAAACUGUAAAGGACUGUUAAUUUUCUUUUUAACCCAUUACAGACCUACACUUACAUAAAAUAUUAACAAAUAAUUACUCGAAAAAAGAAAAUGACAAAAAAAUAAGCUUAAAUUUUAUUAGAUUCAAUAAGCUUAAUUUUAUUAGAUUCAGUAGUCAUAAAUAAAUCUAUCAAAUUCCUAUAAAAAUUUCUAAACACACACUCAAUUUCUAUACUUAUCUCAUUGCACGCUGGAAAUGGUCCAUAAAUCACACUUACAAGCACUACUUUAGGAUAAAAUAUUUUUUCUUGGUCUUUAAAAUUCUUUUAUCUUUUUUAAUACACAAGUAAUAUAGUGUCAUUAUUAAAGCCAAUUUAAUACAGGUAAACCAGAGUUCUCUUUAACCAAAACCCAAAUCCCAGUUUCAUCCCGAGAGGUAACUUAUAGUUGUUAUCUUUGCCAAGCUUUUCACUAUUAUGUAUUUAGAAAAGGGUUUUUUCCCUUUUCAUUGUUUUCAUACACAUUGUACAACAUUUAAUAGUAUCAGUAUUUAACUUCUGCCAGUCUGGGUGAAGAAAUAAUCAUCACAUCGGUAUUUUAAUUUGCAUUUCUCUUAUUAUUCUGAUACUGAUAUUUCCAUGUCAAAUAAUCCUGUUUCUUCUGUAUUGCAUAAUUAUAACCUCUGCCCAACUUUCUUGUCUUGUUUUCUUAUGGUUCUUUUUAUAUACUCCUCUUUUUAUAUUUAUCAUAGACCUACUUUCUUUUGUUGCUUCUUUUACUUUGUGACAUAGGCAGCUUGUCUUUUGCUUUAUGCUCGUACACCUGAACACCUUGUCUUACUCUGUAUUUUGCCUUUUGUUUAGCUGUUAAAACUAUUUAGAAUUGUAUGUGAUUGGUUUGAGGUAGAAAUCUCACUAAUUUUUGUUCAAAGUAAACUUGUAUCAGCCAUUUAAAAAUAUUUCAUGAUUUUCUCUAGUUAUUUAAAAUAGUCAUUUAUUACAGAUUAAACUCCUAUAUAUACUUUGUACUGAUCAUUGAUCUUUAACUCUUUGCUAAUACAGACAGCCCUUCAUAUCUGUGGAUGCAGAGCACCAAAUGUACGAAUAUUACCAUUUCAUAAAAGGGACUUGAGCAUCAGGAUUUUGGUAUCUUGAGGGGUGGGGGUGGGGUUCCUGGAGCCAGUCUUCCUCAGAUAUCAAAGAAUGACUGUACCAUACUUUUAAUUACCAUAGUUUAUAUAAAGUAUGUUUUGAUGUUAGGUGGGACAUGCUCCCCAUAUUUUGUUCUUUUUCAUAUUCUUUUGCUAUUUUUGUGUAAUCUUUUCCUGGUCAGAGUUAAGCUUAGGAAAAAUUUUAUUAGGAUUUUAAUUAGAAUUGGAUUGAAUUUUUUUAUUUUGCUGCAUCAUGCAGCACCUUGAUAUGGGAUCUCAAUUCCCAGACCAGGGAUCAAAACCGGUCCACAACGAUGAAAGCACUGAUCCUAACCGCCAGAUCACCAAGGAACUCUGCAAACUGCACUGUCUUUAAAGAGUAAUUUGAAAGAUAAUUGCCUUCCUACCCAUAAUUCUUCACCUUUUUCCAUUUAUCCAGGGUUUGUUCUGUAGAUAUGUCAAAAAAAGAUAGCUUGUUUGAGAGAUUUACAGAAUCUUGCUAGUUUAACCAUGCUAGAUUCUGUUGCCAGUAUUAGAUUGCUUAUUGAUGGUUGCUUAAUUACAGCAAGAAGAGGAAAGGUUAUGAAGAUGAUGAUUAUGUCUCAAAGAAAUCCAAACAUGAGGAGGAAGAAUGGACUGAUGAUGACCUGGUAGAUUCCCUGUAACCAUCCGAAAGUGACCUGUUAAUACUCGCUCAUCAACAGUUACUAAUGUUUGGCAUCAGAGCAAGGUCCACAUGUAUCUCUGAAAAUUUCCCUACCCAACACCUUUGAAUAAAUGUUUAGAGGUUUCAUUUCAUCAUUGACCAGCUAGUUACUACAAGGCCUACAAAGGGCCACACAUGUGAUAUAUAUAAGCUCCCAGGCUACAUGUCAAAUUGAAGCUUCAGCUCCUGGUCUACACCACAGCCACUGUGAUCUAAGCCGCAUCCGCAACCUACACCACAGCUCACGGCAAACCAGGAUCCCCAACCCACUGAGCGAGGAAAGGGAUUGAACCCACAUCCUCAUGGAUACUAGUUGGAUUCACUUCCACUGCACAAUGGGAACUCCAGAAAGUGGUUUUUAAAAUUCCAUUAUUAAAAUGUAAAAUCGAAAAAUAUGAAUAUACCAACAAAAUCAUCAAUUAUCUUUAUGAAAUAUCCACUGUUGAAAACUGUUAUAUUUUAUGGUUUUAUUGUGUCAAAGUUUCAUUCAUAAAUGACAUUUUAAAGUAUCAAAAUGUUUUUACCUUAGCUCCAAAUUCCACAAGAUUUGCUAAGUUCUGCACAGACUUAGCCACUAAUAUCAGCGUUCUUGCAGCAAUAGGAGAUGGGGAAUCUAUAAGAGAAUUGGGCACAGCUAAUGACACCAACUCCAAAUUCUUCCAGCUAAACCGUUAAAAAUUUACCACUUUAAUAUUUCUCUACUAUUAAAAAUACUAACUUUCUUCCAUUGAGAACUCAAUGUUUCUAGGAAAGUACUACCCACAUCAUUCAAAAGAGCUUGAGUUAAAGGGGGAAAAACAGAAUAUGCUUAUUGGUACUUUUAGUGUGAAUACUUCAAGACUAACUCAUUCCUAACUGGUUGAUGCUAUUUCAGAAUACCCCAAAGCUUUAUCGCUAAAAAGACUGUCACUCCACCUACCCUUCAGGACAAUCUACAAAGCUAAUUUCAACCCACCCAGAUUAGCAAUUUGCAAUAUGAGCAGUUCCAUGUUGCCAACCUCCACUGACUCAAAUUAUACAAUUUAAAGCUAAACAAAGUCUGGAACCUCUAUUUUGAGGAGGAAAACAUGAAAUUAUUAAUUUAAAAAAUACUUAAAGGUUAAUCAGGAAAAUGUGCCCUAUAUAGAUAGGAUAUAAAUAGAAUACAUUUGUGUCUAUUAAUUUUAAGCCUGGAAACGUAUUAACAGUAAAAACCUAUAGUUUAUCUGCCUGAUUUUACUUUUACUUAUUUUUAUGGCCACAUUUGCAGCAUAUGGAACUUCGCAGGCCAGAGAUGAAUCUCAGCUGCAGCUGCAGAUGCAGCCUACACUACAGCUGCAGCAAUGUGCAAUAUUUAACCCACUAUGCCAGGCUGGGGAUCAAACUCAUGCCACCAAAGAACACUGGAUCCUUAAUCUGCUGCACCACAGCAAGAACUACUGACUGCCUGAUUUUAAAUUGUACUCUUUUCAUCUUAAACUGCUAGACUACAAACAGUAUUGCUUAGUGGUUCAGAUCCAACAUUCAGAUAAAUAAAUCUCUCCACAAGAAUUCAAAACCCUUAAUUCUUAAACCAUAAAUAUAACCAUUUUAGUAGUAAUAGGAUGAGAGGUGAUGUCUAUAAAGAUAAAAUAAGAUAUUCUAAAAAAAUCUUAAUACAAUUUUGAGCUUCAAAUUAUUAAGACAAAAAUGCUUCAGAUUCCUUCUGCUAAUAAUGUGGUCACAAAUAUUCUUAUCCUUUCUGUGAAAUAAGCCUGCAGUAACAUGUAGAAGUUCAUAAUGGGCAUAUGGGUAAAAAGCAAAACCAAAUUUGGUUUGGAGAAUAAAAUGCUAAUUAACAUUAGACAUUAGGUGACAAGAAAUCUCUACUGUGAAACCUCAAAGGGCUACUUUCUUCCUAAGUAUUCAGAGUACUAUUAUAAAUGCAGCUGUAAUUUACAUAGGGAGGUUCUCAGGCUAGGGGUCAAAUUGAAGUUGUAUGACACACCCACUGUGAUGCAGGAUCCAAGCCGAGUGGAGUCUGCAGCUUACACCAAAACUGGCAACACCAGAUACUUAAACCACUGAGAGAGGCCAGGGAUUUGAACCCACAUCCUAAUGGAUAUUAGUUGGGUUCACUGCCACUGAGCCACAAUGGGAACUCCUGCAGCUAUAAUUUUAUUUUGAUUCUAAAAUCCAACUUGCAGUGGUAGUGUACAGGGUCUAGCAUAGGCUAAAGGCUCAUAGAAAGCUGUUCAUCCCAACUUGAAAAAGCCACACUGCAGACUAGAAAAACUCAUCAUAGGAACUGAGACACAGGUGGGGAUGGGAAAAAAAUGGUAGGUGUAUAAUCAUGCCUUCUCAGGCUUCAGUUGCUUUAGAGAAAGAAAGGAAAGAAGCACAAUUAAAAAAAUAAUAAGGUAAGCCAAAAGUAGAAUAGGGUGCUUUGGAAUGUUUUAAACCAAGUCUUAGAUUUGGAUAAGAAAAGCAGAUUUAAAAGAGAAGAAAAUGAAGUAAACUCACUAAAGAAUAUGACAUUUUUUUUUUAAUUUCAAAAUUUAUCAGAAGUUGAUUACCUGAGAUGAUAUUAAACAUCCGUGGAUUCAGGAUGGCAGGACAGAUAAGUCGAAGAAAAACAAAACCACUGAAUGGGAGGGAAAUGUUGGGGUUUUUUUAGAUAACCACUAUAAUAUGUAUUACAUUAAAAUAAUAAAAAUUACAAUACUUGUAGAACCAUGAACUUUGAACUAAUCUAUGGAAGGCCAAAUAAAGCUUUAUAAAAAUAAUAAGCUAAAGUAUUUUGCAAUAAGAACAUAUAUCUGCAUCUUAAACAUUCAUUUUCUUCAAAUUUAGAAUUUUAAAUUUACUUUGGGAAGACCUAAGUUAUAUCUGUUAGCAUUUAUUGUCUUGGCUAAUAUUUAUUUACUCCAAGGUAGUACAGCCUUUUAUACUUACUUUGAAGAAAGUGUUUAGAAACACUAAGGCCUUCUGGGAGUACAAAUAAACCUUUUUAAUAGAUACAUAAUCCUGUAAGGUCGGAAAACUAACAUUUUCUCACUUCUUUCUUUUCUUUAAACAGAACAGCUCAGUAAAGUCCAUUAUAAAUCACACUGGUUAUACAGAUUUUGUGUUAUUUAAAAUUUAAGAAUCCACUGUACUAGGGAAAAAGUGACUUCCUGAUAAAUGAAAAUGUAUACAGCAGUAUGCUGAAAAGCUUUUAAAGUGAUAAAAAGACAUUAAGCUUUCCAAAUUAAAAUUUUUUCAUAUUCCAAAAUAUUAAUAGCAAAAACAAAAACUAAUUUAAAAGCACAUGGCUUAACAAUAGUUGUCAUACAUGAUUUUACCUGCUAAUCUCUCUCCUGGGAAUGCAGUACAAAAUAAAUCUACAAGCUUACAUAUCUAUUCCUAGUCUGCCCCUUUUAGUUACUGGUACAGUUUAUGUCCUUAUGUAGAAAAUAUUUCUCUAACUUCCUCUUCAGAAGAAUCCACACUAGUAAUUGACCUUUCACCUGCCCUACGUAAAAGACAAGCAUUAUUUUCAAGGUGACAGAAUUCCUUUUAGAGAUUAAAAUAGUUGACAGAGUCUCUGUUCUCUGUUAGAGUGAAUAACCCAACUUCUCAGCAUUUAACUUUCCAACAAUGCUGUUUGCUAAUUUUGGGAAAUCUUAGGAAAUUAAUGCUGCUUCUCAAAUAGCAUUUAUUCCCAAUUAUACAAUUAAGUCUUUAAACAGAUAUCUUUUAAAUUACUUAUGAAAAAUAUUACAUAAAAUUUGCUUGAAAACACUUGUGAUACCUAAAUAGGUCUUUGAAUUUGAAAUAUAGUCUAGCAACAAUGAACCGUAAGAUUUCAGUGUGUGAACCUACUUUCUGUGAAUUUUUAGAGGUGAUUUGAAAUCUAAGAGGAAAAUUAGGUUUCUACACAUAUAUUUAAAAGCUUAAUCACCACCUUGGCCAUAAAUGCUCCCUUAAAAAAUCCUAUAGUAUCAAACAAUCCACAUAGCAGAGUUUCCUGCUUUUUGCUUAACAAUUAUACUUGUUUGAAACUUACAGAACAGUUUUCAUUUACAUCACACAAAACUGUUGAAACAUAUGUUUAUAAUUCUUUUCUAUUUUUCAAUCACUACUAAAGGCAGGAAGUACAGAAUCUCUAAUUCUUAAAUAUUUAGGUCACAUCAUUAUUAACCAAGAGAGAUUUAAUCUGUAAAAAAGAAUAGAAGCUUCUUUGCAAAAUUUAGGUUGGGGACAGGAUUAACACACAUUUUCAAAACUAAUUACACGACCAUCAGUAGCUGCCUAAUUGUAUUUUAUGGUAUAACAUGACGGGAAGCAUAUAUUCUUUAUAAUAAAUUAUUAUUAGACUGCUGUA